GACGAACGCUGGCGGCGUGCCUAAUACAUGCAAGUAGAACGCACAGUUUAUACCGUAGCUUGCUACACCAUAAACUGUGAGUUGCGAACGGGUGAGUAACGCGUAGGUAACCUGCCUGGUAGCGGGGGAUAACUAUUGGAAACGAUAGCUAAUACCGCAUAAUAUUAAUUAUUGCAUGAUAAUUGAUUGAAAGCUGCAAUUGCAUCACUACCAGAUGGACCUGCGUUGUAUUAGCUAGUAGGUGAGGUAACGGCUCACCUAGGCGACGAUACAUAGCCGACCUGAGAGGGUGAUCGGCCACACUGGGACUGAGACACGGCCCAGACUCCUACGGGAGGCAGCAGUAGGGAAUCUUCGGCAAUGGACGAAAGUCUGACCGAGCAACGCCGCGUGAGUGAAGAAGGUUUUCGGAUCGUAAAGCUCUGUUGUAAGAGAAGAACGGGUGUGAGAGUGGAAAGUUCAAACUGUGACGGUAUCUUACCAGAAAGGGACGGCGAACUACGU
rnacentral:rRNA from 1 species